AUUGAACGCUGGCGGCAGGCCUAACACAUGCAAGUCGAGCGGAUGAAGGGAGCUUGCUCCUGGAUUCAGCGGCGGACGGGUGAGUAAUGCCUAGGAAUCUGCCUGGUUGUGGGGGAUAACGUCCGGAAACGGGCGCUAAUACCGCAUACGUCCUGAGGGAGAAAGUGGGGGAUCUUCGGACCUCACGCUCUCAGAUGAGCCUAGGUCGGAUUAGCUAGUUGGUGGGGUAAAGGCCUACCAAGGCGACGAUCCGUAACUGGUCUGAGAGGAUGAUCAGUCACACUGGAACUGAGACACGGUCCAGACUCCUACGGGAGGCAGCAGUGGGGAAUAUUGGACAAUGGGCGAAAGCCUGAUCCAGCCAUGCCGCGUGUGUGAAGAAGGUCUUCGGAUUGUAAAGCACUUUAAGUUGGGAGGAAGGGCAGUAAGUUAAUACCUUGCUGUUUUGACGUUACCAACAGAAUAAGCACCGGCUAACUUCGUG
rnacentral:rRNA from 1 species